rnacentral:rRNA from 1 species
UACGUAGGGUGCGAGCGUUAAUCGGAAUUACUGGGCGUAAAGGGUGCGCAGGCGGUUAUAUAAGACAGAUGUGAAAUCCCCGGGCUCAACCUGGGAACUGCAUCUGUGACUGUAUAGCUAGAGUACGGUAGAGGGGGAUGGAAUUCCGCGUGUAGCAGUGAAAUGCGUAGAUAUGCGGAGGAACACCGAUGGCGAAGGCAAUCCCCUGGACCUGUACUGACGCUCAUGCACGAAAGCGUGGGGAGCAAACAGG